rnacentral:rRNA from 1 species
GACGAACGCUGGCGGCGUGCCUAAUACAUGCAAGUAGAACGCACAGUUUAUACCGUAGCUUGCUACACCAUAAACUGUGAGUUGCGAACGGGUGAGUAACGCGUAGGUAACCUGCCUGGUAGCGGGGGAUAACUAUUGGAAACGAUAGCUAAUACCGCAUAAUAUUAAUUAUUGCAUGAUAAUUGAUUGAAAGGUGCAAAUGCAUCACUACCAGAUGGACCUGCGUUGUAUUAGCUAGUAGGUGAGGUAACGGCUCACCUAGGCGACGAUACAUAGCCGACCUGAGAGGGUGAUCGGCCACACUGGGACUGAGACACGGCCCAGACUCCUACGGGAGGCAGCAGUAGGGAAUCUUCGGCAAUGGACGAAAGUCUGACCGAGCAACGCCGCGUGAGUGAAGAAGGUUUUCGGAUCGUAAAGCUCUGUUGUAAGAGAAGAACGGGUGUGAGAGUGGAAAGUUCACACUGUGAC